rnacentral:sRNA from 1 species
GUUGAAUUGGCAGCUCUACUUAUUGAAAGGGGAGCAAAUCUUGAAGAAGUUAAUGAUGAAGGAUACACUCCCUUGAUGGAAGCUGCCCGGGAAGGACAUGAAGAAAUGGUGGCACUACUCUUAGCACAAGGAGCAAAUAUAAAUGCCCAGACAGAAGAAACUCAAGAAACUGCUCUUACUUUGGCUUGCUGUGGAGGAUUUUCUGAAGUUGCAGACUUUCUUAUUAAGGCAGGGGCUGAUAUAGAACUUGGCUGCUCCACACCUCUGAUGGAGGCAUCUCAGGAGGGACACCUGGAAUUGGUUAAAUAUUUGCUGGCUUCUGGCGCUAAUGUGCAUGCUACAACAGCAACAGGAGACACAGCCUUAACCUAUGCUUGUGAAAAUGGACAUACGGAUGUUGCAGAUGUUUUACUUCAAGCAGGGGCUGAUUUAGUAAGAUAUUUUUAAUUUCAAAUAUUUUUGCGUUAAUGUUACUAUCCAUUUAUACUUAACAUUUAGAAAACACUAAAGAUCAAUGGUUUGCAUACUUUGUAUACAGUAACUUAAAAAAGCUUGGCUACCUGUUCUAGUUGUUGUAUGUAUUAAAUGUAUUUGAAAAUACUUAGUGUUGAACAGGGCAUACUGUUUCUUUUCCUAGGUAAAACUACUAGUUUUUUUCUUCCUUUCACUCCACCCCCAUUUGACAUUCCUGUGCUUUUUAAACUGCCCUCUGUUAGAUAUAUCAUAAAUUCAAUGAUGUGUUCACAGAAUAGAGUAACAAGUCAAGUCACUUUGAGUGAUUUAUUAUUAUUUUAAUUGACACAUGAUAAUUGAACAUAUUAAUGGGGUA